UGUUACAGACUAUGUGAUAUGUUUGAUAUUCGGUUGCUUUCUUUAUAUCAUGUCAACUAAAUAUCAGACAUAUUCCUAUAGACUGUGACA
rnacentral:pre_miRNA from 8 species